AAGGCGACGAUCGGUAGCCGACCUGAGAGGGUGAUCGGCCACAUUGGAACUGAGAUACGGUCCAGACUCCUACGGGAGGCAGCAGUGGGGAAUAUUGGGCAAUGGGCGAAAGCCUGACCCAGCAACGCCGCGUGAGGGAAGAAGGGUUUCGGCUCGUAAACCUCUGUCCUAUGGGACGAAGGAAGUGACGGUACCAUAGGAGGAAGCCCCGGCUAACUACGUGCCAGCAGCCGCGGUAAUACGUAGGGGGCGAGCGUUAUCCGGAUUCAUUGGGCGUAAAGCGCGCGUAGGCGGCCCGGCAGGCCGGGGGUCGAAGCGGGGGGCUCAACCCCCCGAAGCCCCCGGAACCUCCGCGGCUUGGGUCCGGUAGGGGAGGGUGGAACACCCGGUGUAGCGGUGGAAUGCGCAGAUAUCGGGUGGAACACCGGUGGCGAAGGCGGCCCUCUGGGCCGAGACCGACGCUGAGGCGCGAAAGCUGGGGGAGCGAACAGGAUUAGAUACCCUGGUAGUCCCAGCCGUAAACGAUGGACGCUAGGUGUGGGGGGACGAUCCCCCCGUGCCGCAGCCAACGCAUUAAGCGUCCCGCCUGGGGAGUACGGCCGCAAGGCUAAAACUCAAAGGAAUUGACGGGGGCCCGCACAAGCAGCGGAGCAUGUGGCUUAAUUCGAAGCAACGCGAAGAACCUUACCAGGGCUUGACAUAUGGGUGAAGCGGGGGAGACCCCGUGGCCGAGAGGAGCCCAUACAGGUGGUGCAUGGCUGUCGUCAGCUCGUGUCGUGAGAUGUUGGGUUAAGUCCCGCAACGAGCGCAACCCCCGCCGCGUGUUGCCAUCGGGUGAUGCCGGGAACCCACGCGGGACCGCCGCCGUCAAGGCGGAGGAGGGCGGGGACGACGUCAAGUCAUCAUGCCCCUUAUGCCCUGGGCUGCACACGUGCUACAAUGGCCGGUACAGAGGGAUGCCACCCCGCGAGGGGGAGCGGAUCCCGGAAAGCCGGCCCCAGUUCGGAUUGGGGGCUGCAACCCGCCCCCAUGAAGUCGGAGUUGCUAGUAAUCGCGGAUCAGCAUGCCGCGGUGAAUGCGUUCCCGGGCCUUGUACACACCGCCCGUCACACCACCCGAGUCGUCUGCACCCGAAGUCGCCGGCCCAACCGCAAGGGGGGAGGCGCCGAAGGUGUGGAGGGUGAGGGGGGUGAAGUCGUAACAAGGUAGCCGUACCGGAAGGUGCGGCUG
rnacentral:rRNA from 1 species